rnacentral:rRNA from 1 species
UGGGGAAUAUUGCACAAUGGGCGCAAGCCUGAUGCAGCCAUGCCGCGUGUGUGAAGAAGGCCUUCGGGUUGUAAAGCACUUUCAGCAGUGAGGAAGGCGGGUACGUUAAUAGCGUGCUCGUUUGACGUUAGCUGCAGAAGAAGCACCGGCUAACUCCGUGCCAGCAGCCGCGGUAAUACGGAGGGUGCGAGCGUUAAUCGGAAUUACUGGGCGUAAAGCGCAUGCAGGUGGUUAGUUAAGUCAGAUGUGAAAGCCCGGGGCUCAACCUCGGAACUGCAUUUGAAACUGGCUAACUAGAGUACUGUAGAGGGGGGUAGAAUUUCAGGUGUAGCGGUGAAAUGCGUAGAGAU